AGAGUUUGAUCCGUGGCUCAGGACGAACGCUGGCGGCGUGCCUAACACAUGCAAGUCGAACGAAGCACUUCCGGUUUGAGAUUCGUCAAGAAUCGGAUUUGACUUAGUGGCGGACGGGUGAGUAAUGCGUGAGCAACCUGCCCUUCAGAGGGGGACAACAGUUGGAAACGACUGCUAAUACCGCAUAAUGUAUCCGGGUGGCAUCAUCUGGAUACCAAAGAUUUAUCGCUGAAGGAUGGGCUCACGUCUGAUUAGCUGGUUGGCGGGGUAACGGCCCACCAAGGCGACGAUGGCUAGGGGUUCUGAGAGGAAGGUCCCCCACAUUGGAACUGAGAUACGGUCCAGACUCC
rnacentral:rRNA from 1 species